GUGCAUGGUGGUGCACACCUUUAAACCCAGCACUCAGGAGGCAAAGGAAGGCACAUUUUGUGCCCUCCCCACCUCCAAAUUGCCUCAGUUACAAAUCGGAAGGCAGGCUUGGUGACCAGGACUGGCAAGCACAUUUUAAAGUCCCAUGCUGUGGAGUUGAUCCAUCUCAACUUGAGUCAGAAGAGGCAGAAGUGGAUGUGAGAGAAAGAGACACACAGAGAGACAGAGAGCCAAAGAGGGCAAGAGACUUGACUUUAAGAGACUCCUGUACUGACAACUCUAUGCAGUUUGGAACC